GGGCUGUUAGUUUAGUUGGUAAAACUCCUGUUUUGCACGCAGGUGUCCGGGGUUCGAUUCCCCGAUGGUCCAC
rnacentral:tRNA from 1 species